UUUUAUGGAGAGUUUGAUCCUGGCUCAGGAUGAACGCUGGCGGCGUGCCUAAUACAUGCAAGUCGAGCGAACGGACGAGAAGCUUGCUUCUCUGAUGUUAGCGGCGGACGGGUGAGUAACACGUGGAUAACCUACCUAUAAGACUGGGAUAACUUCGGGAAACCGGAGCUAAUACCGGAUAAUAUUUUGAACCGCAUGGUUCAAAAGUGAAAGACGGUCUUGCUGUCACUUAUAGAUGGAUCCGCGCUGCAUUAGCUAGUUGGUAAGGUAACGGCUUACCAAGGCAACGAUGCAUAGCCGACCUGAGAGGGUGAUCGGCCACACUGGAACUGAGACACGG
rnacentral:rRNA from 1 species